GUUCCNUAUAUCNUACCCAGUUUACUUGGAUUACUGUGGUAAUUCUACANCUAAUACAUGCAAAUANAGCUCCGACCGGANACGGAAGGAGUGCUUUUAUUACAUCAAAACCAAUCGGUUUCGGCCCCUCGGGGGUCGUUAUCGUUAAUUUUGGUGACUCUGAAUAACUUUAUGCUGAUCGCACGGUCUCAGCACCGGCGACGCAUCUUUCAAAUGUCUGCCUUAUCAACUGUCGAUGGUAGGUUCUACGCCUACCAUGGUUGUAACGGGUAACGGGGAAUCAGGGUUCGAUUCCGGAGAGGGAGCCUGAGAAACGGCUACCACAUCCAAGGAAGGCAGCAGGCGCGCAAAUUACCCACUCCCAGUACGGGGAGGUAGUGACGAAAAAUAACGAUACGGGACUCAUCCGAGGCCCCGUAAUCGGAAUGAGUACACUCUAAACCUUUUAACGAGGAUCAAUUGGAGGGCAAGUCUGGUGCCAGCAGCCGCGGUAAUUCCAGCUCCAAUAGCGUAUAUUAAAGUUGUUGCGGUUAAAAAGCUCGUAGUCGAAUUUGUGUCUCGUGCCGUUGGUUCAUCGUCCGCGGUGAUUACUGGCGUGUUACGAGACGUCCUGCCGGUGGAUUUAACCUGGUUCAUUGGCUAAAUUUUUGUUUUAAACAGGCCAAUUUAUUAAGUUUAAUGGAUGGGAGCGAUCCCAACUCAAUCCUGCCGCGGUGCUUUUCAGUGAGUGUCGAGGUGGGCCGGCACGUUUACUUUGAACAAAUUAGAGUGCUUAAAGCAGGCUAAAAUUUUGCCUGAAUAUUGUGUGCAUGGAAUAAUGGAAUAGGACCUCGGUUCUAUUUUGUUGGUUUUCGGAAUUCCGAGGUAAUGAUUAAUAGGAACGGAUGGGGGCAUUCGUAUUGCGACGUUAGAGGUGAAAUUCUUGGAUCGUCGCAAGACGAACAGAAGCGAAAGCAUUUGCCAAAAACGUUUACAGUCAUCAAGCAAUCAAAGUACCGCCCUAGUUCUAACCGUAAACUCUGCCANCUGGCGAUCCGUCGAAGUUCCUCCGAUGACUCGACGGGCAGCUUCCGGGAAACCAAAGCUUUUGGGUUCCGGGGGAAGUAUGGUUGCAAAGCUGAAACUUAAAGGAAUUGACGGAAGGGCACCACCAGGAGUGGAGCCUGCGGCUUAAUUUGACUCAACACGGGAAACCUCACCAGGCCCAGACACCGGAAGGAUUGACAGAUUGAGAGCUCUUUCUUGAUUCGGUGGGUGGUGGUGCAUGGCCGUUCUUAGUUGGUGGAGCGAUUUGUCUGGUUAAUUCCGAUAACGAACGAGACUCUAGCCUGCUAAAUAGGCGUAUUUGACAUCCUUAAGGCCCGCUGGCCAGCCGGUUGUGUUUUAUUUUUGAGGGGUUUACUCUUUUCAGAAAUUUACACAUUUGUGUUGAGUUUAGCGCGGUUUUUACUGUCAGCGUACAAAUAAUUCUUCUUAGAGGGACAGGCGGCUUCUAGCCGCACGAGAUUGAGCAAUAACAGGUCUGUGAUGCCCUUAGAUGUUCUGGGCCGCACGCGCGCUACACUGAAGGAAUCAACGUGUCCUCCCUGGCCGAGUGGCCCGGGUAACCCGCUGAACCUCCUUCGUGCUAGGGAUUGGGGCUUGCAAUUGUUCCCCAUGAACGAGGAAUUCCUAGUAAGCGCGANUCAUAAGCUCGCGUUGAUAUCGUCCCUGCCCUUUGUACAAACCGCCCGUCCAUCG
rnacentral:rRNA from 1 species